rnacentral:tRNA from 1 species
GCCGCUAUGGUGAAAUUGGUAUACACUGAGCUUUCAAAAAGCUCCGACUUUAGGUCAUAUCGGUUCGAAUCCGAUUAGCGGCA